CAUCCCGUUGAAACACCGGUUUUCGUACGAUCACCACAGUUAAGCAACGUUGAACCUGGUCAGUGUAUAGAUGGGUGACCUCUUGGGAAUUCCAGGUGCUGUAAG